rnacentral:rRNA from 1 species
UACGUAGAGUCCGAGCGUUAAUCGGAAUUACUGGGCGUAAAGCGUGCGCAGGCGGUUUUGUAAGCCAGAUGUGAAAGCCCCGGGCUCAACCUGGGAACUGCAUUUGGGACUGCAAGGCUGGAGUACGGCAGAGGGAGGUGGAAUUCCACGUGUAGCAGUGAAAUGCGUAGAGAUGUGGAGGAACACCGAUGGCGAAGGCAGCCUCCUGGGCUAGUACUGACGCUCAUGCACGAAAGCGUGGGGAGCAAACAGG